rnacentral:rRNA from 1 species
GGUAGGUACUCGAGUGGCGAACGGGUGAGUAACACGUGGGUGAUCUGCCCUGCACUCUGGGAUAAGCCUGGGAAACUGGGUCUAAUACCGGAUAGGACCGCACUUUAGUGUGUGUGGUGGAAAGUUUUUUCGGUGUAGGAUGAGCCCGCGGCCUAUCAGCUUGUUGGUGGGGUAAUGGCCUACCAAGGCGGCGACGGGUAGCCGGACUGAGAGGUUGGUCGGCCACAUUGGGACUGAGAUACGGCCCAG